rnacentral:lncRNA from 1 species
AUGUCUCCUCUUAAUGACACAAAAAUGGAAGUCCUUAGAUUCCUCCUUAUCGGGAUCACUGGACUGGAGAAAAGUCGCACCUGGAUAUCCAUUCCUUUCUUAUCUGUGUACCUUCUUUCUUGGAUGGGUAAUUUUACCGUCCUCUUUUUUAUCAAGACAGAGCAAAGCCUCCAUGAACCUAUGUAUUAUUUGCUUUCCAUGCUCUCCAUCUCUGACCUAGGGCUGUCUCUGUCUUCCUUACCCAUCACUUUGGGACUAUUCCUAUUUGAUGUCCAUGAAAUUCAUGCAGCUCCAUGCUUUGCCUAGGAAUUUUUUAUCCAUCUGUUUACAGUCAGUGAAGCCUCUGUACUGUCUGUAAUGGCAUUUGACUGGUAUGUGGCAAUCCACAGUCCUUUGAGAUACAGCACUAUCUUAACUAGUCCCAGAGCCAUCAAAACAGGGGUUCUUCUGACUUCCAAGAAUGUUCUUUUGAUCCUUCCACUGCCCUUUCUCUUGCAAAGGCUGAGAUAUUGUCAUCAAAACCUGCUCUCCCACUCCUAUUGUCUCCACCAGGAUGUCAUGAAGCUGAUGUGUUCUGACAACACAGUCAAUGUUGUCUACGGACUCUGUGCAGGACUUUCUACUAUGCUGGACUUGGUGUUUAUUACCUUCUCCUAAAUUAUGAUUUUAAGGGCUGUACUGGGAAUUGCUACCCCCAGACAGCAGUUCAAGGCCCUCAACACGUGCAUCUCUCACAUCUGUGCUGUGCUUAUCUUCUAUGUGCCCACGCUGAGUGCUGCCAUGCUCCACCAGUUUGCCAGGGAUGUGUCUCCUAUGAUCCACGUCCUCAUGGCUGAUAUUUUUCUGCUGGUGCCACCCCUGUUGAAUCCCAUCGUGUACUGUGUGAAGACCCACCAAAUCCGAGAAAAGGUUGUGGGGAAACUU